CAGCGCGGGCGCGCGACGGGCAGCUGCGCCCGGGAGGAAGCGGCUAACACAGUGGGCGCCCGCCGCUCUUGCCCCGCGGCGCCCACCCUACGGCGCCCGGGCCCAGCGGACCUGCGAACCUGAGGCCGAGAGCGGAACUGCCCUGGGCGCCUUCCCGGGCUUGGGGGAGAGGAUCCGGCGGGGCUCUCAGGGCUCGCGCUGGCAAUGCGCAGCGAGGAAAGACGAGGAGCUGCGUUCGGCUUGGUGCCCUCGGAGCGCCAGGAGGCGGGGUGCGCUCGCCCCCGGGCCGGGGAGGGGGGAUGCUGCCAAUUGAGAACCCCGCGGCGAGGUCCUGUCAUCUCCGCGGGGCCUGAGCGCAGAGCCCGGGGCUGCCGGCGCUUUGGCCUUGGAUGGAAAGUGGGGAAGGGCUCCGGACCCCCUAACAUGGAUUACUUGGUGUGUGUCAGCCGGGCUCAGAAGACCCACGAGCGCGUCUCCAUCCUUGGAUUGAUCGAUUCUACUUAGCAGUCGGGUCGCUUACCUGCAGGUGAAAUCAGACGUUUGAGGCUGACCUGGGGAGGUGCUCCAAGCCAAGAAAGAAGGACAAGAAAGAAGCCCAGGAUCUCCUCUGAGUCUUUCCGGAGAGGUGUUCUCCGUGGGAACCCUGGCACAGUGGAGAAUUCCAUCUCUGCUGAGGCCGCCCGCCCUCGUCGUUUCAGGAGACUCCGGCUGCCUCCAGGUCCUUCCAGAAGGGACCGGGAAGAUCCAAGAAGACCUUAUGGAGUUGCUGAGACCUGAAGUAAAGGAAGCUGGAGGAGAGAGUGUCGCUGCAGGCCAUCUGCAGUGCAUCGACGAGCAUCCCCCAGAAGUCACGGCCACCCAGAACCUCAGACGUGACCAUGUGUUUGCAAAUAGGGUCUCUGCAGAUACGAUUCAUGAAGGACACACCUGACAAGUCCUGAGAGGAGCAGGGGGGGAUCAGAGAGACACAGAGAGGAUGGGGAUCUCCAGAUGGGAACAGACAUUGGAGGGAGGGGUCCGCAGGCCAAAGACGGCUAGCAGCCAGCAGUAACUGCUGGGACACACCCCUGGAAUGGGUUCCCCCUCCUGGCCUCUGGAAGGAACCAGCCCUGCCCACACCCUGAUUUUGGACUUCUGUCCUCCUGAACUAGGAGAACAGAAGUGUCUGUUGCUUUUUGCCACCAGAUUGUGGCCAUUUGUUAGGACGGCCUCAGCAGAAGAGUAUGAGGCAGACGAGAACGUGCUCUGUGGCGGGUUAGGGGAACAGGCUUGAGGUGAGGAAUCCAGGGGACCAGAUUGCGUGUAAGGAGACAGGACUGGUUCAUAUGUUAGGGGCGAGAGUCUGCAGGCCCGUUGGCCCGUGGGUGGAGGGCCGUGAUGCCAGGCUGAGGUGCGUGUGGAGCAGAGCCCUUCUGCCAGGGGGCAGUCUUCACAAUCCAGAAAGGUGCCGACCUUGGAUUCUUGGACUCUCUCUGCCAAAUUGUGACUUAUAGGAUGACAGGGGUAGUUAUAAGGUGCUUAGCGUUAGAAAAUUUUCUAAAAGGCAAGGAAAACAUUCAGGAUCCAUACUCAGUUAUAUAUUCAUCCCUUAUUUUUUUUAAAAAAAUAAUAUUUCAGUGUCUUUAUGGUUGUAUCGUAUUUCAUUGUAGGACCCACCCCAUAGUUAUGGUUGAACAGUUCUUUGAUGCUUCCCACAUUUCUUCUUUGGCUGUGAAAGGCUCUGAAGUCCAUCCUGGUAGCAAGAACUUGAUCCAUAUCCGUCUUAGUUUCGGAGGGCUGCCAUAACACGUCACCACCAGCCUGGUGGUUUAAAACAACACAAAUGUAAGGCGCCUGGGUGGCUCGGUCGGUUAAGCGUCCAACUCCUGAUUUUUGGCUCAGGUCAUGAUCUCAGGGUCAUUCAAGGCCCUCCCUGGGCUCACGCGCUGGGCAUGGAGCCUACUUGAGAUUCUCUCUCUCUCCCUCUCCUUCUGCCCCUCCCUGCCACUGCCCUGCUGGCAUAUGCGUGCUCUCUCUCUUAAAAACAAAAACAAAAACCACAAAUGUGCUGUCUUACAGGUCUGGCAGCCAGAAGUCUGAAAUGAGUCUUACGGGACUGAAAUCAAGUUGUGGGCAGGGCCGGUUCCUUCUGGAGGCUCCAGGGAAGAGUCGUUCCUGGCCUCCUGCAGCCUCUGGAGGCUGCCACACUCCUUGGCUUGUGGCCACAUCACGUCAGCCUCUGCCUCGGUGUUCACGUCCGUUCUUCUCUCUGUACUCAGCCCUACGUCUGCCUCCCUCUGAGAAGGACCUUUGUGGUGGCAUUUAGGGCCCAUCUGGAUAAUCCAGGAUCCUCUCCCCAUUUCAAGACCCUUAACUUAAUCCCACUUGCCAAGUCCCUUUUGCCACAUGAGAUGACAUUUACAGGUGCCAGGGGUUAGAACGGGGACUCUCAUUUUUUGGGGGGAAGGGGUGUCGUUAACGAGCCUGUCCCGAUGUCCAUGACUGUUUUCUCACAGUGGCUUCCUGUAUGUGGAAACACGGGGCGCAAGGGUCUGAAUGACGUCGCAGCGUGAAGCCUCCGCAGAAGGCGCCCCGCGUCGUGUAGAGUGGCUGGCGUGCUUUGCUACUGUCCCUUUAAGAGCCCUUUUGUAGCCCUCCUAGGAGUCCGACCCCAUAGGGAGGCUGGGGACUGAACUCCCCAUUACAGGAAUCAUUUAGAGUCAGCCUCUGGGAAACUCAGGGCUAAUGAGAUAAUUCACAUUAGGAGAGGAAGGAAGUGAAGGUGGCCUGACAUCCUUUCUGUCUCUAAUUUAUAUGAUUCACUGAAGCCUCCCCCUCCCCUCCCCACCCCGUGGGGCCACCCCUCCUCCGGCUGCCCCUUUGAAUUCUGGUUCCACUGUCCACCCUCGUCCUGCCAGCCGGGGCUCUGGUUUCCAGCAAGUCCCAGCAUGCCGAGGAACCUGGGAAGGCUGCCUUCCGUCCAGAUGAGGCACUCAGGCUCUUUUCUCCGCAGCUGCGCCACAGACUCCGUUCUUUACCUCUUUCUUCUCUUUCCCGGGGCUUCACCCAGCUCCCCUCCACCCCCACCCCUGCCCCGACCAGUGACCAACCAACUGGUAUCUGCGGGACCAAAGGAAAGAGAAAAGCUUUCAACAGAACACAGGCAGGCUCCAGGCUCCGGGGGACCUAGAGGCCCAGGCUGCCAAGAUUUUGUCUGCCCCCUCGCCCCCCCCCCACCCCCCCGCCGCCCUGUACUUUUAGAGGGAGGGAGAGAGAACAAGAGAGAUCCUUCCCUUCCUGUUUUGUUUUGCUGCCUACACUUCUGGUCAAAGCUGUCUCUGCAAACAUGAAAAUCCAGUUUGGGUUUUAACUAGAAAAGUGUGAAGUAACCCAAGGUUCAGGCCAUCGGGAGUUCAGAUCCAACCCUGGGAGCCUCUCUGGGGGCUGCGUGCAGAGCACGGAGAGGGGAGGACCCCCGUCUCAUCGUGGGCACCCUGCGGUCUUAGUUGCCCAUUUUCUGUAGUGACACCUGCCUGCUUUUCUCAGACCUGCUGCCUCGACGGUUCCAGCCUUCCCUCCCCCAAGCCUGGGAAGGGUCCCUGGCGCCCAGAGGGAGGUGUGGCUCUCUCUUGCCCCCAGUUUAUUCUUUUCCUCCUCUCAUCCUCCCUGAGGGAGGCCAUAUGGUGGAGUGUUCCGAGUCAGGGCCAAGGGCCAGAGCCGUGCGGGCCCCGGGGACAGUCCAGCAGCGCUGAUGUGCCGUGUGGGUGGCCCGUCCCGUGAACUUGCUGCCUGACCUCCCCCGGCCUCUGAGAACCCAGCUGCAGCCUUGGGUAGCAGCCUGGCCGCGUCGUGACGGGCGGGUGCCGAGGCCCCGCGUCCCGCCUGUGCCCUUGGCGCCCGCGCCACAUGCCGUCCGGGCGGUGCUGGGCCCGGGCCCUGGGGGCCCCCUUUCCCGUCGGGGCAGCCUGAGCUGGCUCUCCGGGUGCUAGUGUCUCCAGUGAGGGGGAAAGAGCGGGCGGCCCAGCCCAGAGGCCCCAGGAGGAGUGGACACAGUUUGGAAGGAGGAGAGACGCAAGGUCGGGACCCAGGCGCUGGAGGCGAAGGACGUCCACGCGCUUCCAGGUUGAGCAGCCGCGGAGCUCGUGUCCUCGCCUCAGCCCCGUCCUCAGCUGAGGCUGCCUCGUUCACCGUGGGGGCUCUUGAGGAGGGGCCCGGUAUCGGGCACGCACCCCCACACGUUCUAGGGAGGGAGCACGGGACGGAUCUAAAGGCUACAGACAACGUUAUUGAUUUCAAAAGGAAAAAAAAAAAAGUACCGUCCGAUGGGCCUGGAGUUCCCGUACACCUGUGAGGUCUGGUCUGGACCAGGAAAAUAACCAAGCAGUGACUCAUCGUCCUCCCUUCCUGGGAAGUGCGCUCCUGUAUUUUUUAGUACAGAUAGGGAGAGAGGUGAUUAUAGUGACAGACAGACGUAAGGAGCCUCUUGUAUUUCACUCAGUCCUCACGACAGUCCUGCGACGGACUAGGUACUGCUCGUAUCCCGUUUAACACGUGGGUGAGAGAGAUUUGAGGGAACUUGCCCGAGAUCCGGGACUUGGUGCUCGAUUUGACUCUGUUUCUGUAAGCAGAGAUGUCUCUAGUGCGAUGUGCUUCCUGACUGUUCUCCUGUCUGUAGGGAUGAGUGUCCGUGGCCCGCGGCCCUCCCACACCUGUUGAGAUAACUAGCCUAUGUCGCUAGGGAUUCACUUGUUCAGGCACUCAGGCUGGCCUCUUCGGGACCAGACACUGAGCCAGGGACUCCGGACGCGGAAGGGAAGCCUGGCUGCUGCAGCAAGCCUCCAGCUGCCCCGUGACAGACCUGCGGGGUGCUGAGGAGGAACAUUCGGGGCCCCCGAAGCCCGCCAGCACCGCAGCCCUUGAAUGCACGUGCUCUUUUUCUCCCACGUGGUUGACAGUCCUUGAUGUUCCAGAUCCAGACAAGUCAGCGGUCCCGCCGUGUCCUCACUGCAGGCUGGCCACGGGCCCUCACACGCCUGGGUAGACAGUAGAGUCCCGCAAGGGACUUCAGGGACCCGGUGAGAGCACCUGGCCGUUGAUCCCUCCCGAGGAAAGAGGGUAGCACCCGUCAUUCUGUGGAACCCCAUCCCUGGCAUGACUCACAGAGGACAGAGGAGCUCCGGCAAGGCCUCCGAGCAGAUGACGGACGGAACCGAGACUUGCAGAGAUUAAGCCACCAGCCCAAGCUGACAGUCACAAAUGGCCUGGGAAAGAGCAGCGGCUGAGGGCCGCUCUUCCUCGCUCCCACUUGCCACCAGGAAGCUGGGGGGAGCCAACGUACGCCAUUGGGACCUCGCGAAGUACCCGGCUAAUAUGGGACCAUCUCUUAAGAGGCAAGAGCUCUGGAUCUUCUCAAGAAUUCUUAUUUUGGAGAAAAAAGAAACUUCUGGAUUUGAGAAGACAUUGGAGGAGAAAGUAAAGACCCUUGCACUGAGGAGGAGUCUAUGUCUGGACCCGCACGAGCUGGACGCAACCUACAGUUGACAAGUCACCAUCACCACAGACCUUGUCGUUCCCUCUUGUGGAAAACAUUUCCUCUGCUGCUGCCUGCCCUUAAGACUCCCCCCCACCCCCCAGCCCGAUGCCCGGGAACCAAAGGGCUUUCUACCACACCCUUUCUUGCCCCCCAGCUCCCCCGUCUGCUGUGCCUUUGGACUCGGCAAUUUUUGUUUGCUCCAUUAUCUUCCAGCCGGAUACAGAGUGAAUUGUUAACCACACUUAGGUCAAAUGGGAUUUUAAUUUUUGUUCCUGUUCCUUCUAAAGAGGCCAGUGUUUGUGUUGCUAUGUGAGCAGCAUUGGAAUAGAAUGUCCUCUCGCUUCUUUGGGAUCCGGCCACUCAGGUUCCAGAGUGAUGCGGGUCAGUGCAGAAGUUCUUCGGGACCUCAGAUGUCAGGGACAUUGGAGGGGGCUCCUGUAGGGGCGCUGGUGUCCUCCAUGUCCAGCUUCCUUUGCUUGGAUCCCACCCAGAUGUUUGUCUGGAAGAGCAAAAAGUGAAUGCUGUGUGUUCAUCCCCCCUAUCUGCUCUUUUUUUUUUUUUAAAUGUCAUUUGAUGUAUAAUUGACAUAGUAUUCUAUCCGUUUCCCACCUGUCUUCUGUUGACACAGAGGCACCACCAGCUGUGAAGACCCCUUCCCUCAGAUGGCAUUUGGGGCCCCUGCCAGAGUGUGGUGCUUUGUCACAAACCAUCUCGCUACCAGAGCUGGUGUGUUUAUUGGAGACCCUCUGCCCCUCAGAUGCCGGCGUCACUCCUGACGGCAGACCGGGCCCCUCGAAACAUGACUCCUGUUUGUUUCAUCCCUCCAGUGCCACCGUGCACAUGGCUGAAAACACUUCUAGAGUCGACCUUGUUUCAGUCGCAGAGCCAAAGAUGUCCGUUCAUUCUACUUCUAAAGCAAAUGAUGGCUUGCCUUUGUAGGAAGAAUUAAAGCCAUACACAUAUAUCUUCUCUUUGUUUGUAGGUGAUGUGUUUCUGUGACCAUAGAGCGACCUCGGUGUCUGCUCAGGGGAGCAAUGGGGUCCUUCUUGGCCUCUCGGAUUCCCCACAAAAUGAGUGGCGGGAACCCCUUGAGGUCGUUUCCUGCUGUUGACAUGUAAGGCUCGUUCGUGGGCUUUGGUCUCCCUUCCUUGACAUGCACACAGACUCAUCGUACUGGUUAGAGUCCUUCAGGUUUCAAGGAACAGAGACCCCUUAGAUCACCAGCAUUAACAUGGGUUUAUUCCAAGUUGCUCUGGAAGUAAGGUAGACCGGAACAGUCUGCCCAGCAGCUGCCUGGCGAGGCCUUUCUAGAAGCCCAAAGUCAUUCAAGACAUCCAUUUGCUAGACAGUUUCCAGAAACAGCAAGAAUUCCGACGCCAAGGUCAUUUUGAUCAUCUGCUCAGCAGCACGACUCCCUGCUCCUGAUUCUAGAAUUCUCCUGUGAUGAUGAGCUGAGGAUGCUAGCUGUCCCAGACCACACGACUUUCUGUGAUAAACCUGGGACAGUGCUGGGCAAACCGGGCAAACCAGAACAAUUGGCCAUGCUCCUGGGUGGCUUGAUGACAUUGCUUCUGCUGCUAAGUUACCUGCCAUAGUUCGCUGAUGCUCUUGAUUAGCCUGACCAGCUGCCAUUCAGAACCCUUGUGUCUGACCACAUGGUUCACCACUUGGCAGGCUAUAGGUGGAGGCCGUUGGAUCAAGCACCCAGUCCUGACCACAUCAGGUGUUUUCCGGGUGGUAGGGUUGCAUGAUAUUGAAUAAAAACCUGGAUGUAACAAACCAGCUGAGACCACUUCCUUCAGAAAAAGUCCUGUGGAUAGUGGACAUGGGAGCCAUUCAAGGUAUCAGGGAUUCUUCUCCAAUCCUGUUCUACUUAAAAAAGGCGAUGCUAAUAACCUUUCUUGUUAAGAGCAGAACAGUUCCUUAGGAAACAAAACUACCACGGCCACUGGGAACAGGGGUGGUGGUGGGGGGGACAGACUGCACGUGUCCGAGAGACAUGCACGUACCAUGCAGAAUGAGCCAAGAAGAAAACUCUGCGUCUUCGCUAGAGAGAGUAAGAGCUACAAUCAUCGGGGUAGGGUUGUCUAGGGAGCAAAGGAGUUGGCUAGAGGACUUCCUGAGAUUCCUUUGAACUCUAGGAUUCUUUAAAAUAUCAAGGACAUGUAAAUGGGGCCCAAGUGUGUACUUUCACUCCAGAGUCUCUGGAUCACCUUUGAGUUCCACUCUGAUCAUGUCGAAUGGGACCUCCCGGCUCCCUCUUCCCUCUCCAGACACUGCCUGUAUCUGGGAUAAGGGAGCAGAACUUGGUGGUGGUUGUGGGCGGUGGAGGCGGACGGGAAGGUUGUACCUGCCGAACUUUUGGUGUUCUUGACAAGUAAGAACAAUCUGAAGGCAAAUUACAGGUUCUUUUCAGGUUGGUCAAAGCCAGGCUUUCGGGCUUGCAUGCCAUCCUGUAGCUGUUGCUUCUUGUCAGGGGGUCAGGCCUCCAUCGUUUCUGUUGAAAGACGGGCACGAGCGUCUGCAGUGCUCUAACGGGAGCCUUCAGCCCGUCCUGCCCCUCUUGCAUGCUGUGGCCACAUGGGGGGUCAUUGCCUGCCAAGGUAGAGAUGAGCAUGCAAACAUCGAGAAACCCAACUCUCAUUACCCCCAUGCAAAGAUCGAGAUCCCCCAUGCCCCCAAGUCUUUGCCCCUGUCCUGGCUCUCUGUGCCUUCACUGCCAUAGAAGGAAGGCUACCCCAGCGCCUUGGGCACCCCUUUUCUUUUUAAAAAGAUGAACUCAUUUCAGAUGUUCCCUUCAUUCAUGUACCACGUACGGUCUUUGGUUCCAGAAGAAGUCUCCUUGUUGUGCCAAAGGCAACAAUCUCUCUCUCUCUCUCUCUCUCUCUCUCUCUCCCCCCUUAUCUUCUCGUCCACAUAGAAUCCCAGAGUUCAAAGUGGUCUAAAGGCUUUAUCUAGAUUUACCUCUGACUGAGGCACGAAUCCCCUUUCCAGCAUCAGACGAGGGAUCACCCAGGCCUGGGGGAGGCAGCCUUUUUGGCAGAGCAGGAGAGGACUGUGAGAGAGGGCUGAAUGAUCCUCAGCCUGGCAGGCGAAGCUGUAGGGUUGUGAAGAGCGGCUCGUGGGCUGCCUAGAGACCACGAAUGUCAACUUCUUAAUGAGAUUUUGAGGCAAGUGCACUGUGCCCCCUCCCCAGCACAUUUCGGUCUCUUACUUCUGGAUCCAGGGUGCCUUCCGCUGAUAAAAAAGCACAGAGUGGGGAGACAAGGAAAUCUGAGAUUUUUGUCUCCGAAAGCUCCUCAUCUUCGUUCCUUCCCUGUAAAAUGAAGGAGUCGGGCCACGUGAUCCCCGAAGCCUCUUCUGUCUCUGACAUGCACAGUGCCGUCGUAUUUAAUCGAGUCCGUGACUUGAAGGUUUGCUGGUUUUUUGCUCCAUUUGAGAAGAGUAAACCAGCUGUUGCCCAAGGUACGGUAGAAAGGCAUUUCAUCCACAUGCUGAACAUACUCAUCUUGCCGUGAUCCAUUAUGAACAUAACCUCAAGUUAGGGCCCUGUCCCGGGCAUUUUGUUCAGGCUUUCCUGUGAGAUUUUCCCGUGGCAUCAAAACUUUUAUCCUCUUCAAAGGGUCCGCCAAGCCCCAGUGUUGAUGGAGAAAUAGAAGGUUCUAAUGGUGAAGCAUGGCCCUCUGCUCAGGGGAAUGUGGUUUAAAGGGCAUAAGGAUGACCUUGGGAAUGGCCACUGACCUUGGACAAGACCGUCAUGCCAGGCUGGUGGGAAGCAGGGCUGGGUCCCCCUACCGCUGCUUCUGAGUGAGACCUUCUAUGCCCAGGCUGACAAGAGCUCUGAACUGGAGAAGGGAGGGGGGUGUCUGGAAGUCUGUACUUUAGUCCUACCUUAACUUCAGCCCCAAGGUCCUUUGCUGUGGGUCUCAGUCUUCUCAUCCACAAAGUGGGAGAGAGAGGGAUAAGUGGGUGGUGUGGAUGGUCCUCUAAGGUCCCUCCCAUGUGUCAAGUUCUAAGCCUCGCCUGACCCAGCUGAGGCCUGCCUGUUCUCUGACAAGUAGCUCUUCUCCCUUUGCCUUCGGCUGCACAAGCCAAAAACAGGGCUGUCCCAGGAAGUCCAUUACCGAAGAAUACUUCAAAGCUGUUUGCACUCAUUGUCAGUUGCACUGAACUUGAGUUUGUUGAGGGAGAAGGCAAAUAGACAUAUAGACUGACGGCAGGCACGGGGAAGGGGGACUGCUAUUUGCCCGGGGUGACGGGGGGCGGGGGGGGACUGCCUAUACUUUUGACCAAUAAAUAAAAACUGGGAGCUCUGCGUGGUUACAGCUGGAGGGGAUUUAUUAGUUUGCUUAGUGAAAGGCAAAUAUUAAGUCUUAAGUUGACCCCGUCCUGGGACCUGCCUUUUGGCUUUUGUAUGCCGUCCAGCACCGAUCACUGUGUACUUCAGGUUAUCAAGUUCUGUCAAAGGGUUUUUGUUGUUGUUGUUGUUGUUUAAUGGUUUUCCAUCUCCUUCUCCUUUCUUCCCUCCGUUGCCUGCCUUCGCCCCGCUGUUACCGCAACUCGGGGCUGGGUUUUAGAGCGGUAGGGAAAGCAGGGUGUGGAAGACACCUUGUCACAUUGUCCUGCUCACGAAGCUGGCUGUGUUCGGGGCUCCCGCUAGCUUCAGAACUGCCCAGCUGCUGGUGCAGAGGCUCCGGACCUCGGGGUCCUCGUGGGUCCCCUCCAUCCUCGGCCCUGAGCAUAAGUCUGGGCGUCGGAAAAAGAAACACAUCCCCUGUUCCUCUGUGUUGUAACCUUUCCUUCCUAUGUGACUGUUGGUGCUGGACAGUGACUGGUGACCUCAGCCAGAUGCCCUGUAGGGUGAGCCGCUGAAGGUAGCAUCGUGUGGGCAUUAUAAUUGGGGUCUGACCAGGGUUUGUCACCAUCCAGGGAGUGAAAUAUCCAGACCAGAAGGGCUGGACAGGCACCCGGUCUAUCCAGGCUCCACGUAUGAGCUGCAGUGAAGCUCAACUACAUGGAACAUUCCUUACCCUUUGCCUCAAACGUCCUCAGUGUAAAGCCAGUCUGUUCUGAAGCAUUGCGGUUCUCGGGGUCCUUGGGCCUCAUGGGUGGGGCUUGCUGAUACCCACCACUGUGGGGUCUGGCCCACCAGGGCACCCUAAGCGCCCCGACCAGCCUGGCAACGGUCCACAGAGGGUGCACCUUACAGGCCAGUUCGGGAUAUCACGGCUCGCCACCACUCCUCCUGUAACCAAGAGUUGGGAAUGUUCUGGAAUUGCUUAAUUAAGAGAGUUCCUUUCACAUUCCAGUGGUGAUUUUUGAUUGAACUCAGCAUGAUUUUUAACCCUCUGGCAAUUCUUCCUGGAUGAGUAUUUUUUUUUUAAAGAUUUUAUUUAUUUGUUUGUUUGUUUGUUUAUUUAUUUAUUUAUUUUUAUUUGACAGAGACACAGCGAGAGAGGGAACACA